rnacentral:rRNA from 1 species
UUCAGCCAUUCAUUUAAAGAGUGCGUAACAGCUCACUAGUCGAGCGAUUGUGCAUGGAUAAUAAUCGGGCAUAAGCGUAUUACCGAAGCUAUGGAUUAGUAAUUUAAAUUACUACUGGUAGGGGAGCAUUCUAUUUGCGUUGAAGGUGUGUGGUGAUGCAUGCUGGAGCGGAUAGAAAAGCAAAUGUAGGCAUAAGUAACGAUAAUGGGGGUGAGAAACCCCCACGCUGAAAGACUAAGGUUUCCUGAUCAACGCUAAUCGGAUCAGGGUUAGUCGGGACCUAAGGAUAAGCCGAAGGGCGAUUCCGAUGGAAAAACAGUUAAUAUUCUGUUACCAGUUACAACUGCGAUGCGGUGACGAAAGAGUGAAAGGAGUGCGCACUGACGGAAUAGUGCGUUGAAGGGUGUAGAUAUAGGCUUGGGUUAGUAGCUCGAGACUGUCGAACCUGAUAGUACCAUGAUACUUCGGUGGAUUGGAUAAUCUCCCUAAUCAACUCUCCUAGAAAACCCGCUAAGCUUCAGGUUAUAACUGCUCGUACUGUAAACGGACACACGUAGUUGGGUUGAGUAUACUAAGGCGCUCGAGUGAUUCAUGGCUAAGGAACUCGGCAAAUUCGUCCUGUAACUUCGGGAAAAAGGACGCCUACAGCAAUGUAGGCCGCAGUGAAAUGGCCCAGGCGACUGUUUAACAAAAACACAUGGCUAUGCUAAAUCGAAAGAUGAUGUAUAUGGCCUGACACCUGCCCGGUGCUGGAAGGUUAAGAGGAGGUGUCAUCCGUAAGGAGAAGCAUUGAAUUGAAGUCCCAGUAAACGGCGGCCGUAACAAUAACGGUCCUAAGGUAGCGAAAUUCCUUGUCGGGUAAGUUCCGACCUGCACGAAUGGUGUAACGAUCUGGGCACUGUCUCAGCCAUGAGCUCGGUGAAAUUGUAGUAUCGGUGAAGAUGCCGAUUACCCGCAACGGGACGGAAAGACCCCGUGAACCUUUACUGCAACUUAGCAUUGAUUUUGGGUAAGUAAUGUGUAGGAUAGGUCGGAGACUAUGAAGCUGCUUCGCUAGGAGUGGUGGAGUCAUCCUUGAAAUACGACCCUUUGCUUAUCUGGAGUCUAAUUCCUUUAGGGGAAGACAUUGCUUGGUGGGUAGUUUGACUGGGGUGGUCGCCUCCAAAAGAGUAACGGAGGCUUUCAAAGGUUCCCUCAAGACGAUUGGUAACCGUCUGUAGAGUGCAAUGGUAUAAGGGAGCUUGACUGUGAGACCGACAAGUCGAUCAGGUACGAAAGUAGGACAUAGUGAUCCGGUGGUUCCGCAUGGAAGGGCCAUCGCUCAAGGGAUAAAAGGUACUCCGGGGAUAACAGGCUGAUCGCCGCCAAGAGCUCAUAUCGACGCGGCGGUUUGGCACCUCGAUGUCGGCUCGUCACAUCCUGGGGCUGGAGAAGGUCCCAAGGGUUGGGCUGUUCGCCCAUUAA